CUAGCUCAGCGUGCUGAACACGUUUUCCAAGAAGCCACUCGUGUAAUGAAUUUCAAAUCAAUUUGCAAAAAUAGUUCUGAAGAUACAAUUAAUGACUUAGGUCAUCUAAUGAAUGAAAGCCAUGAAAGUUGUAGAGAUCUUUAUGAUUGUAGCCACCCUGAUCUGGAUGAAUUAGUUAGAAUAUCAUUAGAAGCAGGAGCCAAGGGUAGCCGAUUAACGGGGGCUGGGUGGGGUGGAUGCUGUGUUUCUUUGAUUAUGGAGAAGCAAGUGGAUGAAUUUUUGAAUGCAGUUAAACGAAAUUUUUAUGAGAAGAAAGGAAUAUCUCAGACUAUAGAUAUUGAAACUGUCAUUUUUUUGUCCAAACCCAGUGGAGGAGCAGCUAUUUAUACUACAGAUAAUUAAUUAUGCUAUCUAGACAAUAUUCAGGAGGAGCAAAAUUUUACAUAAUUACAAGUUUUCAAGUUCUUUGAGACAGCAUUUGGAAAUUUAUUGCAAGAUCAUCCACACUAUUUCCUUGGUUUGCUAAAGAAUUUCGAAAUAUUUGUCAUUACUUAGUAAUGUACAAAAUACUGAAACAAGGUUGAGAAAUUCAAGUACUGAAUCAUGGAUUUAUGCUGGAAAAAGUAAUAGUGAUAUGAAUUCUGAUAGAAAAUGACAUGCUGGCUUGAAAUCAUAAAGAUUCAGUUUAAGCUCUAAAAAUUCUAAACUGAUUGAAGUUCUGGUAGGUAUAAUUGUUUCAAAUGUAAAUGAAUAAUCAGUGUUACCUUAAUGUCAGAAAUAAAAUUUUAUUUGCAGUGGACAUUUCAAUGAAUAAAGAAAUGUUAUUUUUAAUUAACUUAAAAUAACUAAAUUUUAAAUAACUUAAAAUACUUUGAAUAAUUAAAAUUUUAUUAGUUUCAGUAUUCUUAAAAAGAAUAGAAAAUAUUUUUGAUUGUUAAAAACAAAGAACAAUACCUUAAGUAGCUGAACCUUCCAGUGCCAUCAUAAAUUCAAAAAUAAUCUAUUUUAAACCAGUCUUCUGGACAGUAUUUAGUUUUAUACUUUAUGAACAAUUUUCUUUUUCCUUCUGUGCAUUAAAUUUUUGUCAGCAAUGUUGAGUUUUCAAGUAAAUGAUUAUAUACGUAAAGUAGAAUGUUAACUUUUCUGUACAGAUUUAUAAUUUCAAGAUUUUCUUUUCUUUAUGCUGUAUCAUUUUUCAUGUGUAUUGGACAUUUUAUUACUUCUUUUGUCAUCUGUAUCAUUUUGGCUUUUAGAAAUAUCACCUAUUUAGUACCAAAAUGCAUUUUCAGAAAUUUACAAUGUAGAAUUUCAAAGAAAAUGUUUUACUGCUUUUUCUAAUGGAAUUAGCUAUAUUUUGAAAUAUGUCAUCUACUGAAAAAAAAAAUUUAAAAAAAAAAAAAAAAAAAAAUUAAAAUACAGUGUCCUCUUUCUAGUCAUUUUAUUUUGCCACAGGUAGAGAUUAUUGAUUUGUUUCUCUAAAUUUUUGUUUGGUGAAUAAAUAUUUUUAGCACAUUCUGUGUCUGGUAUUUCACGUAAAAUAAAUAUUUCUCUUGUA
rnacentral:lncRNA from 1 species